GCAAACUUGGUCAUUUAGAGGAAGUAAAAGUCGUAACAAGGUUUCCGUAGGUGAACCUGCGGAAGGAUCAUUAAUGGGUUUUUAAUGCUUGUGAAGGGCUGUAGCUGGCCUCUCUGGCACGUGCACGCCUGGAUCAUGCGCAAUCCACCUCUCUCGCACCUGUGCACAACCGUAGCUCAUGGGUGGGGAUGCAAAACAACCUGCCCUACGCUAUGCUUUUCACUACGUACACACAACUUGCCAAUAAAGUCUUUUUUUGCGAGUUUUAUAUAAACACAACUUUCAGCAACGGAUCUCUUGGCUCUCGCAUCGAUGAAGAACGCAGC
rnacentral:misc_RNA from 1 species